rnacentral:lncRNA from 10 species
GGGAGCCCUGGCAUUACUGCCGACAACAAAGGAAUAUCACUGGGUAAUUUCAUCUUUUUCUUGUCUCUUGUAGAAAAUUCAACAUGUAGAAAUUCAACAUGAUGUAGAAGUAAUUGUCCCCCACCCCAGACCAGAUGGAGUCCGUCGCCCAGGCUGGAGGGCAGUUGCGCGAUCUCGGCUCACUGCAAGCUCCGCCUCCCAGGUUCACGCCAUUCUCCUGCCUCAGCCUCCCGAGUAGCUGGGACUACAGGCACCCACCACCACGCCCAGCUAAUUUUUUUUGUAUUUUUAAUAGAGACGGGGUUUCACCAUGUUAGCCAGGAUGGUCUCGAUCUCCUGACCUCGUGAUCUGCCCACCUAGGCUUCCCAAAGCGCUGGGAUUACAGGCGUGAGCCACCGCUCCCGGCCAAGUGAAUUAUAGUUCAUGUGGUUUUUCAGAAAUAGGAAUACUUCACAGAUUUUAACUUUCCCAUUUCCUUGAGUAUUAUCAUUGUCAAGGACAAAGAUAGGCUGAUAUAUGCAUAUUCCCCCUUAAAAGAAAAGAGUUUGGAAAAGCCUAUUAUCAUUUGAAGUCUUUAUCGAGGAAGCGGGACACUUCCACCAAUUCCAUGGGUGAGGACUUACUAUAGUUUGAAAGUUUGUGUCUCCCUUCCAAAUUCAUAUGUUCAAAUUCUAACCUUUAAAUGAUAUUGUUAGGAGAUAGGGCUUUUUCAAAGAUAACUGAAUUACGAAAAAGAGCCCAAUGACUGGGAUUUGUGUCCUUAUAAAACAGACUGCAGAGAGCCAACUAGCCCCUUCCACCAUGUAAGGAAACAGUAAGAAGACACUCUCUGUAAGGAUCGGGACCCUCACCAGACACUGAAUCUGCCAAAACAUCAAUCUUAUACUUCCCAGCCUCCAUAACUGUGAGAAAUAUGUACAUGUUGUUUAUAAGCUACCCAGUUUAUGGUAUUUUGUUAUAGCAGCCUAAAUGGACUAAGGGAGAACUUAAUCAUGGGUUUACAUUUAACGGAGAAAGAGGUGGAUAAUCGGGUAUAUCUGAGUAGUCAAGGGCUUGACUAUAACACUUGUAUUAUGGAAGAAGAGGAGACAAAUUAUUUUGGGAAAGUAGUAUUUGACCCUGACUUACACUAAGACACAAUUGCAAAUGAAGACAACUAAGCAGAUGCGCAGAAAAUACAAUAAAGUAUGGAGAAAGGACACAACAGACAAAGGCAAUGGGUGUCCAUAAUGUAAAAUAGGGGACAACCAUGUUGGAACUAGGGAGGACAAUGAUAUUUAUAACACACAUAAUAGAGUUAAAUAUUUGAGAGCAAGGAUAAAUAAGGUUGGGUAAGUAGGAAAGAUCCACCUCCAAGAGGUGUUGGAGGGCUUCAAGAAGAAGACAUAUGGAAUCUGUGUGGUUUAGUGAAAAAAAACAAAAUCUAAAAUGAAACUUGAACAAAGAAUACAGAGAAGUGGAUUCCAGCAAUAGCAUCAUUUUUGUCAAUAACAUAUGUAAGUCAGUCUUUCCAAACCUCAAUUUCCCCAUCUAAAAAAUGAAUAUACUAUAUUCCAAUAUUAUUAAGACUCUUCUCAGCUAUGUUGUCAGCUGUAUAAAAAAAGAAUCUAUAUAGAAAAGGAUACGUUUUGCUUGGAAUAACAAGCUAAGAGCAUUAUUUUAGGAAGUCUGGUUGUAUAAUAAAGCAUUUCUCAAGGCAGAGAAAAUAACAAAGUUGACACUGUAAAAUUCUGUUUGCAUUAAAGAUAGACAUAAAAAAUUCUAUAGUAGGAUGAUGAGAGCAAGAUUUGAAAGGAAUAACAAACUUCUAGAGCUGUGCUUCCUAAUAUGGAAGUCAUUAGCAACAUGGCGAUUUUAUAAAAAUUGAAGAGCUUUAUUGAGGUAUAAUUGACAUCAAAUAAACUGUAUAUGUUUAAAGCAUACAAUUUUGAUGACUUUUGACACCACAGUCAAGAUAAUGAAUGUAUGCAUCACCAGCCCCCACCAAAAUUUUCCUUCUGUUGCUUCAUAAACCCUUCCUUCUACCCCUCGUCAUUGCCUUCCAUUCUCAAGCAACUACUGAACUGUUUUCUGUCACUAAAGGUAAAUUUGCAUUGUUUAGAAUUUUAUAUAAAUGAAUCACACAAUUUUUCCUUUAUAAAAUGUAGCAUUUUUUACUUGAUACAACUAUUUUGAAACUCAUCUACGUUUUUGUUCAUGUCGAUAGACCAUUCCUUUACAUGGCUGAGCCGCACUCCGUCAUAUGAAUGUACCACAGUUUGUUUUUCCAUCCACCUCUUGAUGGACUUUUGUUCUUUCUUUCUUUCAUUUUUUGGCAAUUAUAAUGGACACAACUAUAAAUAUCUAUGUACAGUCUUAUUUUUUAAUCUGUUUUGUGUAAAAACUUAGUUGUAUACUUGCUGGAUCAUAUGAUAAGCAAAUGUUUAGCUUCUUUAGAAACUACUGGGCUUUUUUAGGUGGUAGUACCAUUUUUCAGUCCCACCACCAAAAUAUAGGACUUCCAGUUAAUCCAUACCUUUGUCAACACAUGAUAUGUAAAUCUGUUUAAUUUCAGCCAUUCUGAUAGGUUUUGUAGUGGUAUCUCAUUGUGAUUUUAAUUUUUUUCCCUAAUAAAUACUGAUAUUGAGCAUCUUUCCCCGUUCUUGCUAGCCAUCAGUUUAUCUUCCUUAAAAUGUCUACUCAAAUAUUUUGCACACUUUAAAGUGGAUUGUGUGUUCCAUUAUUAUGGGAUUUUGAGGUUUUGUGAAAUAUUCUACAUUUAAGCCUUUGCAGAUGUGUAAUUUGCACAUAGUUUUUCCUGGUUUGCAGCCUCUCUUUCCAUCCUCUUAACACUGACUAAAUAAGUCAAAUUUGUAAAUUUGUUACCUUAUAGAUCAUGGUUAUAUUAUCACAUCUAAGAAAUCAUUGGCUAACUCAAAACCACAAAAAUUUUCUCCUAUGUUUUUGUCUAGAGAUUUUAUAACCUUAAGUUUUGCAUUUAGGUCUACAAUCCAUUUUUAUUUAAUUUUUGCUCUUGGUACUUGGUAAUAGAUCAAAAGUAAUACUUUUGCAUAUGAAUAUGCAAUUGUUCCAGCUCCAUUUGUUGAAAAGACUACCUUUUCUCCACUAAAUUGCCUUUGUAACUUUGCCAUAAAUCAGUUGAUCAUAUACGUGUGGAUUGGUUUCUCUACUCUUUGUUCUAUUCCAUUGACCUAUUUGUCUGCCUUGAUUGCUAUAGCUUUAUGAUAAGUGUUGAAUUCACAUAGUAUAAGUCCUCCAAUUUUACAUCUCUAUAUAAAUUUUAGAACCAGCUUGCCAUAUUUUUCAAAAACAAAAACAAACACAACACUUACUAUCAGGAGCUUUGGCAUCUAAACAGUAUUGAAUCUUAUAAUCUAUGAACACAGUGUAUCUCUCCAUUUAUUUAGGUCUUUUUAAUAUUCUCAGCAAUAUUUUCUGCUUUUAAUUAUACAGGUCUUGCAAAUAUUUUGUAAUAUUUAUCACUAAAUGUUUUGUAUUUUUGAUACUACUCUAUGGAGACAUUGUAAAUGGGUGUUUUCUAAGCAGAAUGUAUAUAGCAGUACUAGACAAGUAAAAUG